UACAGCCACAUCAUCUUGAAACACCGACUCCCGUACGAUCACUGAAGUUAAGCAACGUCGAUCCUGGUCAGUACCUAGAUUGGUGACCGCUUGGGAAUACCAGCUGCUGUAAG